AGUUUCUACAUUGGUUAGAUAUUUACAUAAUACAGGUAAUAAAGUUAGGGCAUUCAUCUAUCUACAGCUGGGGCAUAUCAAUACAGCGCAAGUUCACUCAAAUGCUAUUGACAUGAAAGUGUCAUCGUCCAAAAGUGAAUCAUAAAGUUCUUCAUUAGCAUACCUCAUUUCAUUGGGACUGCUCAGUACCAUAUCACAUUCCGGAGUUUCCUGGAGUUUUUCAAAAUAAGUCAGCAGCCUUCUGUAUUGAGCUUGUCCUUCCUCACAAUGAUACAUGGAUUUCACCCUGGUUAGUGCUUUUUGCUGCCUCUCCUCAUUUUGUUUCCUUCCUUCCUUCAGAAAAUCAUAAUCGUCCUCUUCUUUAGGCACGCAUUGCAUAUUGGAAUCCUUAG
rnacentral:misc_RNA from 1 species